rnacentral:ncRNA from 1 species
CAAAGGUUUGGUCCUGACUUUUCUGUCAACUCUAACUAAACUUACACAUGCAAGUAUCCGCACCCCCGUGAGAAUGCCCCACAGUUUUCUUCCCGAAAACAAGGAGCUGGUAUCAGGCACACAACCCUAAAGCCCACGACACCUUGCACAGCCACACCCCCAAGGGAACUCAGCAGUGAUAAACAUUAAGCCAUAAGUGAAAACUUGACCUAGCUAUGGUUAAUAGAGCCGGUAAAACUCGUGCCAGCCACCGCGGUUAUACGAGAGGCUCAAGUUGACAAACUACGGCGUAAAGAGUGGUUAAGAACAUUCCAAAAUAAAGUCGAAUGCUUUCAAAGCUGUCAUACGCACCUGAAAGUAAGAAGCCCAAUCACGAAGGUAACUUUACAUAAUUCUGACCCCACGAAAGCUAGGCCACAAACUGGGAUUAGAUACCCCACUAUGCCCAGCCUUAAACAUUAAUAGCACUCUACAUUAGCUAUUCGCCAGGGAACUACGAGCCCCAGCUUAAAACCCAAAGGACUUGGCGGUGCUUUAAAUCCACCUAGAGGAGCCUGUUCUAUAACCGAUAACCCCCGUUCAACCUCACCUUCUUUUGUUAACCCCGCCUAUAUACCGCCGUCGUCAGCUUACCCCCCAAGGGAUAAACAGUAAGCAUAAUUGGUUCAUCCCCAAACGUCAGGUCGAGGUGUAGCGCAUGAGAAGGAAAGAAAUGGGCUACAUUCACUACCUAAGUGAACACGAAUGAUAAAUUGAAACAUUUAUCUGAAGGAGGAUUUAGCAGUAAGCAGGAAAUAGAGCGUUCUGCUGAAACCGGUUCUAAAGCGCGCACACACCGCCCGUCACUCUCCCCAAACCACCAUUACCCCCUAACUAAACACAAAACAAUCACAAAGGGGAGGCAAGUCGUAACAUGGUAAGUGUACCGGAAGGUGUACUUGGAAAAAU